UACGAAGGGGGCUAGCGUUGUUCGGAAUUACUGGGCGUAAAGCGCGCGUAGGCGGCGUAUUAAGUCAGAGGUGAAAGGACUGGGCUGAACCCAGGAACUGCCUUUGAGACUGGUGCGCUCGAGUUCGGAAGAGGGUAGUGGAAUUCCCAGUGUAGAGGUGAAAUUCGUAGAUAUUGGGAAGAACACCGGUGUCGAAGGCGGCUACCUGGUCCGAUACUGACGCUGAAUUGCGAAAGCGUGGGGAGCAAUCAGG
rnacentral:rRNA from 1 species